UGGAAGCACGAUUAAAGAUUUCUCAUUGG
rnacentral:piRNA from 1 species